rnacentral:rRNA from 1 species
GCUUGCUCCUCUGACGUUAGCGGCGGACGGGUGAGUAACACGUGGAUAACCUACCUAUAAGACUGGGAUAACUUCGGGAAACCGGAGCUAAUACCGGAUAAUAUAUUGAACCGCAUGGUUCAAUAGUGAAAGACGGUUUUGCUGUCACUUAUAGAUGGAUCCGCGCCGCAUUAGCUAGUUGGUAAGGUAACGGCUUACCAAGGCAACGAUGCGUAGCCGACCUGAGAGGGUGAUCGGCCACACUGGAACUGAGACACGGUCCAGACUCCUACGGGAGGCAGCAGUAGGGAAUCUUCCGCAAUGGGCGAAAGCCUGACGGAGCAACGCCGCGUGAGUGAUGAAGGUCUUCGGAUCGUAAAACUCUGUUAUUAGGGAAGAACAAAUGUGUAAGUAACUAUGCACGUCUUGACGGUACCUAAUCAGAAAGCCACGGCUAACUACGUGCCAGCAGCCGCGGUAAUACGUAGGUGGCAAGCGUUAUCCGGAAUUAUUGGGCGUAAAGCGCGCGUAGGCGGUUUUUUAAGUCUGAUGUGAAAGCCCACGGCUCAACCGUGGAGGGUCAUUGGAAACUGGAAAACUUGAGUGCAGAAGAGGAAAGUGGAAUUCCAUGUGUAGCGGUGAAAUGCGCAGAGAUAUGGAGGAACACCAGUGGCGAAGGCGACUUUCUGGUCUGUAACUGACGCUGAUGUGCGAAAGCGUGGGGAUCAAACAGGAUUAGAUACCCUGGUAGUCCACGCCGUAAACGAUGAGUGCUAAGUGUUAGGGGGGUUUCCGCCCCUUAGUGCUGCAGCUAACGCAUUAAAGCACUCCGCCUGGGGGAGUACGACCGCAAGGUUGAAACUCAAAGGAA